ACAGGUGACUCCGCCCUCCCUCAGUCCAGUUAUACUGUGCCUAGCACAAUAUGUUGGGAAUACGUAACGUUUCUGUGGCCAAACAUUUUGUACCAAUUUGGGAAACUUUCAAACCCUCCUGUUCAUAAAAUGGAAUUAUCUGGCAUUGCCACGGACGGAUUCUAUUCAGGGAGUCAUCAUCAGGAUAUCCGGAAUUAUAAGUUGCGGCGCUAGUCGGGAAGACAUCCCAGUCUCACCCACAGGGUUGUAGAUACUAGAUGCUACAUAUUAGAUAGAUAAAUAUGUGACAGAUCCAUUGGCGAAAUAAACGUCUCUCACCCGUAGCGUGUGUUUGGCUAUCACGUCAUUCACUGCCCUGCUACAAAUUGAGCCCCCAGUGAGGACUAUAGUCGCCAUGGAAGGAAUGACAUAGAUCGCCAGCAACAUCCACUUUUGAUGAUUUCUUUGAAGUGACCUUUGUGAGACCUUGGACACUGUCACGUGACAUGUGUGUGUUUAUUGUGACUUUUCCAGUAUUGGAUAUUGCUACUUCAGCUUGGACAUUCAAUUCAAUUCAUGGACAUUCUGAUCAUGUGAGUCCCCAUCAUGUAUAAAUUCAUUGUAAAAAUGUUACAUCCUUUGCUAGCUAGCAUUUAACUUUAAAUUUACUUUGUACCUGGCGCCAGUUCAGUUCAGUUCAGUUCAGUUCAGUUCAGUUCUGUAAACUGUGACUUUGUUUACGUCACAUAUUUCGUAUUUUGUUCAUGUUCAAAACUUUGUAUUACAGUAGACUUCUUUGUCAGCUACUUCUCAUUAUUUUGUUGGUACCAACAUUGUCUACGUAGCUACAGGUUCUUUAUUAUGUCAUGUGUUUAGUUUAGUUU